CCCUAGUAACGGCGAGUGAAGCGGCAACAGCUCAAAUUUGAAAUCUGGCUUCGGCCCGAGUUGUAAUUUGUAGAGGAAGCUUUAGGCGCGGCACCUUCUGAGUCCCCUGGAACGGGGCGCCAUAGAGGGUGAGAGCCCCGUAUAGUUGGAUGCCUAGCCUGUGUAAAGCUCCUUCGACGAGUCGAGUAGUUUGGGAAUGCUGCUCAAAAUGGGAGGUAAAUUUCUUCUAAAGCUAAAUACCGGCCAGAGACCGAUAGCGCACAAGUAGAGUGAUCGAAAGAUGAAAAGCACUUUGAAAAGAGGGUUAAAUAGCACGUGAAAUUGUUGAAAGGGAAGCGCUUGUGACCAGACUUGCGCCGGGCUGAUCAUCCGGUGUUCUCACCGGUGCACUCUGCCCGGCUCAGGCCAGCAUCGGUUCUCGCGGGGGGAUAAAGGCCCAGGGAAUGUAGCUCCUCCGGGAGUGUUAUAGCCCGGGGCGCAAUGCCCUCGCGGGGACCGAGGUUCGCGCUCUGCAAGGAUGCUGGCGUAAUGGUCAUCAGCGACCCGUCUUGAAACACGGACCAAGGAGUCAAGGUUUUGCGCGAGUGUUUGGGUGUAAAACCCGCACGCGUAAUGAAAGUGAACGUAGGUGAGAGCUUCGGCGCAUCAUCGACCGAUCCUGAUGUUUUCGGAUGGAUUUGAGUAAGAGCGUUAAGCCUUGGACCCGAAAGAUGGUGAACUAUGCUUGGAUAGGGUGAAGCCAGAGGAAACUCUGGUGGAGGCUCGCAGCGGUUCUGACGUGCAAAUCGAUCGUCAAAUCUGAGCAU
rnacentral:rRNA from 1 species